GGGGUUCGUUCGCUGUGAAAUACGAAGCAUGAUACGAAGCGGCCGGCGUUUAGUCCUUCAAGCUACACGAUGGAAAGUAUACGAAAAGUGGGGGGACUAUUGAUGCAGUUCACUGCGUGAGAAAGUGAACAUCGAUCGAGAAUGAGAUAUCUAGAUGCUAGGAGCAUGCGUUCAUAAAAAGAGAAGCUGUGGCACGUUGACCAUUCCGAAUCGGAAUUUUCUACACUACAAUCAUAAGAAAACAAUACCAGUGAAACAAUGACUGCAUCGACUAGUUUCUUUUCAAAUAUUGGAUCAACAUCCAGAUUGAAGACAACGUAUUAGCUACUCUUUUUUUUUCUAUGAAGAUUGAUGGUCUACCUCUUUGCUGUCCGAUGGCGGAUUCUUCUGGUGUUGCUUUUAAGAAUAAUGGCGGAAUUCUUGGUCGAAGGCGCGCCUUCGAACGUUUGCGUGGGAGUUGUUCGUCUAAUUGUGGAUCGUUAAAGGAACGAGCCUACCGCCGCGAGGCUGUUGCAAGCGAGACUCAAAAUCGUUGGCGUUUCCGGUGAACGAGCAACGCGUUUAACCUCGAUCCAAACUGCACUUGCCUUCCUUAUAUCUAUAUAAGUGUUAUAAUUCGUGAGAAGAUCGAUCUUAAAGAUCGAAAUAAAUAUAGAAAUUUCGAUCGAUCGAUUGUUUGUUAUAAAGUGGAUGCGUUUUUUCUUGUUUCUGGAUAAUAGUGGAAUCAUCGGUGUCAUCCCAAUUUUCAAUGAUAUAGAAUAAGGUGAGUUUUAAUUGAAAUAUUUGUGGAGAAUAAUUUGAGAAUGAUUUAAAAACAAUUAUGGCAAUAAUAAUUUUCAAAAAUAUUGUUUCUUCGUGAUAAAAUUGAUGCGAUGGUAAAUUAAUUAAAUAAAAUUGUAUAGUUUUUUUUAAUAGUAAGAAAAAAUUAAUCCCAUUAAGAGAAAUUUAUCGUUUUUUACUAAAUACAAAUUUACUAUAAUUUCGAUAAAAAAAAUUUCCUCUAAUUGAUUACUUUUUAAAAAAAAAUUACACCGAAAAAUGAAAAUUUAAUGAUGUAUAAUUUAAUAUUUUUAUAUUUGGUCAAUUUUUUUAUGAUAUUUUUUUUUUAGACAAACGGCUAUUAGUUACUGAUUACUCAUAGUAGAUUCACACUGUGAAAGAAUUUAUCAAUUUUGAUGACUCCCCAAUUUCGCCUCGUUCUUUUUUCCUUUUUCUUUUUUUUUUUUUUUUACUUAGUUUUACUAUAAUCUUCUGAUUUCUUACAAGAAAUAAGAAGAAUCAUGCCGUGUAAGCAUUUUUCAACGCUGAUGGCUUUCGAAAUUCGCCUGUUUUUACGUUAUCCCUUUCUUUAUUUAAAUGAGUACAGAAUAGCUAAUUUAAAUUUUCGUUUUUUUGUGCAUAUACGCGAAUAAAAUCGGACAGGGCAAGAAUUUUUCAUUCUCAAGAAUUUUCAAAACAUAUCUGUUUUUAUCGCUAAUCUUUUUAUUUCUCUCAUAAUCGUUCAGAUUCUUCAGAUUCAUUGAAUUAUAUUGUGAAAGAUGGUUUCUCUUAUUUAUACUAUUUCUUACAUUUCUAACUUUUUACAUAAAAUCCUACUAUAUGAAAGAAUAUUUCAAACUUGAUGGACGUUCUUUUAUCCAUCAUCUAUAUUCUCAAAAGAUAAUUAAUAAGCUUAUAAUAUUCUUUAGAUUUGGAAUAUUGAUUAAAGAAAAUAAAUCGAAGAAAAGAUCAUCUUACAAAAAAAAAAAAUUGCCUCUUUUCCACCUGGACAGAUGAACACAAUGCAUCGAUCGUAUCGUGUAAUGGCCCAAUCAUUUGUACACAUUACUCUUCCAUCGUUAUUGCGCAUAAGCAGCUCGUUAUAUUAAUACAAUUAACUACAAAAGGUUCUGCAAAAGGAAGGAAGCAGGGCAUAUAUACGAGCAUCACCAUAUCCAUGAGUAGGAGAACCUGUUCUUCGACCAGACAUUACAGAUGAAUCGUUAAUUGAGCACAAUUCUUUUUACGGACAUGGCAACAGUCCCUACGAAUCGACGGAUAUUUUUGCGUCUUUGUUUCCGUAAUUGUUCGUAUUCUUUUGGUUCUUUUUCAGGAAAUGAACGAAUAGGAAUUAGAAAAAUUUGGUACAUGAGUGAAGAAUUAAAAAAUAAGUUAAUUUUAGUAACAAUGGUACAGAAAAUGUAUUGCAAUAGUAAUGUUGCAAAAAAAUAAUUUCUUCAUGUUGUUUCUUUCAUAGUAAAUGUGGAAAAAUAUAAAAAUAAUUUUAGAUUAUAAAGAUCUACUAUGAAGGUGUGGAUAAAGAUAUGAGAAAUAAGAGAAGUUAAUAUUAAUUUUUAAUGAUACAUUGCAACAAUGAUCUUGCAUAAUUUUUGAAAUUAAAAUGUUGCAAUGAAUUUAAAAAAGAUAUAAAAAUAUAAUAUAUUUAGAUGAAUAUAUGGAUGAAGAUUGAACAAAAAUGUUCAAUUACAAAUUUUCAUUUAAAGAAAUAUUUUGGAGAUUUUAUCAAAAUAGUAAGAUAUUGUUAGAUCAACGAUUAAUUGAUUUUUUUUGUACUUAUAAAACAAUUUAUUUUUUAACUUAUUUUGGGAUUGCACGAAGGGUAUUUGGAACAAAUCUAAAAAUAAAGAAUAUACAUACCACGAUUUAGUCACUACAAUUACACGACCUAGAUUCCAUUAUACUGCUAUGGGAUAAAUUGGAUAAGAGAAGCAAGGAAACGUAAUUUAGCCUCUAAACACGCCUCUAGGAAUUAUUACAAAAUAACUGGAUGAAUAUUCUACACAGAAAUGGUUUAUAAUAUAUAUAAUUGAGAAGAGUAUAAUAUAAAAUAGUUUAAAUAAUUUUAUAAUUUCAAAUUUUAAAAGUAAUUAUACUUUUAAAUAAUUUUUGAAAUAUCUUUCCACGUUCGACAGAAUGUAGGUCACAAGAAAUAUAAUGACAGCUCCCAAAAUUGCAAAGGGCUUCAGUUUAAUGUUACCUGUCCAACGUUAAACUCCUAUCAAAUUUUAAACCCUUUUCUCCAAAAGCAUGGGAUAAAAGCAUAUAGGUGAGUAGUGAGCAGAUUUCACAAUUUUAUAUAUAUAUAUAUAUGCAUCUAAUAUAUGCACUAAAUGAUGCAUUUACAAGUAGUUGCAUGUUAAUGAAAUUUAAAAUUAUUUUUAAUUAUUUUUAAUUUAUAAGAUAAUAAAUAAAUGUUAAAAUUGGUGGUCAAAAGAAAAUUUUAAUGCUAUUUUUAAAAAGAUCCAAAAAUCUUUGAUAUUAGGUGAAUUUAGUUUAUAAAUUUAUUAACACAAGACUUUAAAUUGAAAAAUUUUAUUUUAUCGUGGAUACCACCAAUUGCAGGACACUUUCUAUCUAAUCACCAAUAUUAUUUAUAAUAUUUUUUAAAAGAAAUAAAGUCAUUACAUAAAUUUCACAUAGGGAUCGGAAUAAAUAAAGAAAUAAAAAAUAAAAUCACACGUUUCAUUCACUCGAUAGUUGUAUAUCCGAUCGAAAUAUUUCCCAUUCAAACGUUUAUGUUCUACUGAACUAUAUGAACUGUAACUAUAAUUUCCUCCUUAGCGCAGAAUAUAUCUGAUAUUAUUAGAUUACGAGACACCGAUAUCGCUCGUUAUUUUAUCAAUGUUCGCACAUUUUUCAAAUGUCUCGCGCCAGUUAAAAAGAUCGGGAAACCAGUUUUCAAAAUCAUAAACAGCUCUGAUUCGCCAUUAGUCGGUGACUUACAUUCCAACGAGACCUCUAGCGUCUUUGGCCAUUAACUACAACCGAACGACCGGAUGUCUCGUAAUCGUUGGCAUUAAAAAAUUACAAAACAGCCUUCCUCCUGAUCGAAACCAGUUUUCAAAAUCAUAAGUAGGGUCAGUGCUUGGCUUCGAAUUCCACUCGGAUCUUCAGUUUCUUCUUCCAUUAACUAUUUAAUGGAAGAUUAUAUAAUAAAUAAUAACAUGGAGAUACGUAUAUUAUUGAUUUUAUAGCGUAAUACUUGAAACAAGUUUCCAAUUGUAGGUAAAACCUUGAAACGGAUUCGAGGAAUUUUGUUUAUAGGAAAGAAGAUGUAAUACUGUGUUCAAAGUGUUUUUUGUCCGAACGAAUUUUUUCCCACAAAAUUUUAAAGCAAUUAAGGUGUGAAAAAGAAUCUUCGUUUCACAGGAAAGUGAAGGAAAAAAUGAUAAAUAUCGAAAAGAUAGGUAGUUUGAAAUACGUUUUCAGUAGAAUUUUUAAUAAAUUUAAUUUAAUAUUAUUAUUAAUUCUACCAGUUUAUAAAAUUUACGAACCGUGACAAUUCAACGAUGGCUGCGUUUUUCAUACACGGUCUUCUACUUUUAAUCGAAUUCUAGGAAUUGUUGAAUUGUAAGUAAAAGUAUAAUUUUAACAUUUUUAUAUAUGUAUAUGUAUAAAAUGGUCUAUAAAAUUAUACAAAUAGUAAGAACAUGGUAAAUGUAAUAAUAACUAACGAGUCGAGCAUAAUAGUUAAUAAUGUCUAAGCUCGGUUAUAAUCGUGAAAUAAUAAAGGUUAUGGAUAUUCCAAAUUAUUAUUAACUUCGGGUCUGAUUUCACUUCGAUAAAUAAAAUUCCUGAACGAUCGAU